rnacentral:rRNA from 1 species
CGAAAGCCUGACGGAGCAACGCCGCGUGAGGGAUGAAGGCCUUUGGGCUGUAAACCUCUUUUCUCAAGGAAGAAGAUCUGACGGUACUUGAGGAAUAAGCCACGGCUAAUUCCGUGCCAGCAGCCGCGGUAAUACGGGAGUGGCAAGCGUUAUCCGGAAUUAUUGGGCGUAAAGCGUCCGCAGGCGGCCGUUUAAGUCUGUUGUUAAAUCGUGGAGCUCAACUCCAUCACGGCAAUGGAAACUGUUCGGCUUGAGUGUGGUAGGGGCAGAGGGAAUUUCCGGUGUAGCGGUGAAAUGCGUAGAUAUCGGGAAGAACACCAGUGGCGAAAGCGCUCUGCUAGGCCAUUACUGACGCUCAUGGACGAAAGCCAGGGGAGCGAAAGGGAUUAGAUACCCCUGUAGUCCUGGCCGUAAACGAUGAACACUAGAUGUUGGGGGAAUCGACCCCCUCGGUGUCGUAGCUAACGCGUUAAGUGUUCCGCCUGGGGAGUACGCACGCAAGUGUGAAACUCAAAGGAAUUGACGGGGGCCCGCACAAGCGGUGGAGUAUGUGGUUUAAUUCGAUGCAACGCGAAGAACCUUACCAAGGCUUGACAUCCUGCGAAUCUCUAAGAAAUUAGAGAGUGCCUUCGGGAACGCAGUGACAGGUGGUGCAUGGCUGUCGUCAGCUCGUGUCGUGAGAUGUUGGGUUAAGUCCCGCAACGAGCGCAACCCACGCUUUUAGUUGCCAGCAUUCAGUUGGGCACUCUAGAAAGACUGCCGGUGACAACCGGAGGAAGGUGUGGACGACGUCAAGUCAUCAUGCCCCUUACGCCUUGGGCUACACACGUACUACAAUGCUGCGGACAAAGAGUAGCGAUCUUGCAAAAGUUAGCUAAUCUCAUAAACCGUGGCUCAGUUCAGAUCGUAGGCUGCAACUCGCCUACGUGAAGUAGGAAUCGCUAGUAAUCGCAGGUCAGCAUACUGCGGUGAAUACGUUCCCGGGCCUUGUACACACCGCCCGUCACACCAUGGAAGUUGGCCAUGCCCGAAGUCGUUACUCUAACCUUUUGGAAGAGGGCGCCGAAGGCAGGGCUAAUGACUGGGGUGAAGUCGUAACAAGGUAGCCGUAGCGGAAGCUGCGGCUGGAUCACCUCCUAA